rnacentral:siRNA from 1 species
UGUCUCAUGGAUUCGUGGUAUAGC